CCACUGAAAUUUUCAGCCCGGUCCAAAUAGUAUACAACCCUUAAACCCUAAAAACUCUGAAAUUCCCCUGACUCCACUGGAAAAUUGGGUUGAAGAAGAAUUGAUAGUAAACAAUGGAGCAUCGAACUUUGAAUCUGUUGGAUGAGGCGUUGGGUUUGAACCAACAGUCGCAGCCAUGGCUUCCUCUGCAAGGGAAAGUGGUUCUGAUAGAAGACUCUGUGGAGACGAGCGGCUCCUUCCUCCUUCACCAUCUUAUCAAGCGAAUUCUCUAUCCCAACUCUUCUAAUGUCAUCAUCUUCUUAGCCUUCUCUUACCCUUUCUCGCACUAUGAUCGCAUUCUUCGCAAACUUGGUUGCAAUCUGGGUGCUCAAAGGGAUAGCAGAUUCUUUUUCUUUGACAUGCUUGCACUACAGUGCCCAGAUGGAAAUCAAGGAAAAACUAUUGAAGAUGGAUUUUUUGCGCUGUAUGAGAAAAUACAAAAAAUUAUUUGUGCCCUACCUGAGAAUUACAAAACCAAUGUCACCAUCAUGAUAGAUGAUGUGUCUCUUAUGGAGGUGGCUGCUUAUGGCUCUUCAGAUCAUGUCUUAGACUUCCUGCAUUAUUGCCACACUCUAACAUCAGAUUUUGGUUGUUCAUUGGUCACACUUAAUCAUGAGGAUAUAUAUUCAAGCAUGGAGAGGCCUACAUUGAUACUUCAGAUGGAAUACCUUGCAGAUGUUUUGAUGAAAACAGAACCUUUGGCCACUGGUUUGGCUGCUGAUGUGCACGGACAGUUGACAGUUGUGAACUCGGGAAUUUGCAGUGCACAAGGGAACUUGAAGAACAAGAUAAGCAAUUUCCAGUUCGUGCUAAAGGAAAAUGGUGUUGAAUACUUCUACCCUGGGAGUCGAAGUUGACAGUCAGAGAAUUCUUUUUGGUUGGCAACUAUAAAUUUAUGACUCGAACAGACUCCUUGCAGACACAGCUGCGCCCAUGAUAUCUUCCACUGAAAACGAAAGAAAAAAGAGGGUAUUAAGAGGUUGGAAUCUCCAAUGCGAAUGGGAUUUCAAAAUACUCUAUUGUUGAAAAAAAAAAAAGAUCUUCCAUGCGAUUCUAGCCAAGAUGAUGAUUUGUUGCAUAUGGUAAUGUUCUCUAGAACAAGCCAAGAAAGUAGCCCAAUAACAACAGUUAGACUCUGCCAUUUCAAUUCAACCAUAUAUCAGUUUGGAUUCACCAGUUCUGAAAACAGCAACAGAACCAAACAACAAUACCGACCAGACCCAUGGGUUCGUCAUUGGUAUCCCCCCUAUUUUCCAGAUGCAUUUUCACCAAGGUAAGGUUACUCACUACAUGUUAAGGCCAUAGGCUUCUGACAUGCUCUAUUUUUUUUUUGUUUUUUUUUAUAUAUUUGACAGUCGCAUAGUGUAGACAGUUCAUAAAAAUGGAAAAAACACUAAUAUAGAAAUACAGAAAGUGAACUAAUAUCUGUAAGAUUGAAAUCUUUCUAGAAGUUCAAAAUUGGAGACGCAAGCAAACAUUCAACUUUUGCAAUAAUGAAAUGCAUACCAAAUACACCUUUUAAAAUCAUUAACCAUAGCCACAUUGCAGACACGGUAGUACUUCAGAGGAAAUUUAGAUCAGAAAACCAAUGCCAUAAAACCAUUAGAGAAGAAAAGAUCUUUGAAGCAGGCCCCCCCCACCCAUGGAACUGACAACAUGAAGAGUCUUACAAAACUACAACACGCCAACUCUGUGAGUUUCUUUAUUAGAGAAGGCCGCUGCCUUCUGGUAGAAAUAGUACAUAACGAUGGAAACAAAUUAGUUCACAAUAAUAAAGUACAGUUCAAGAUGUUCUUCUACCAUUGUUAUUCGUGUAA